AAUCACUAACCCAGGCUUGAUGUUAUUUUAAUCAAGCAUGAUAAGAAUAAUGAAAUGAUGCACCUCUUAGGAUUUAUUUGUAUGGCAGGGGAGGACUUCAGGAACAUAUCAUAUAAAUGAUGGAAGCCCAAGGACUUUUCCUAUCUUGCUGGUUUGUCCUUCUACCACCCCACGGGGUGGGGGCGCUGUGAUGAGGCAGAAGCAACAGAACAGGGUAGGGGUGGGGGUAGUCAGGAGACAUGGGUGAGUUACCUGGAGCAGAUGCCCUGCUCCCAGGACCCCAGUCUCUUCACAUGGGGAGGACUUGAUGCAGCAGCAUGUUGGUGAAUGUUUAAUGCCUAAUAAAUGCUUCUCCCCAAAAACAUGUAUUUUCAUAUGCGGCAUAUGCUUAUUAUACAAUUUACUAAUAUUAGCGAUGUGUAGUAUACAAUUUAAAAUAAUAAAACAUAGACUACUCUAUUGUACAUUCUGCAUAGCCAGUUGGUUUUUGUCAAUUUUUGCUGAACUCUCCCAUCAGUAUCCAACCAACAGUUGCAUCUGACAAAUGAAUGUGGUUCUGACAUGAACAUUGGUUGAUAUUUUUGUUUAUGUUAAAGAGGAAGGUGAAAGUGAAACCACAAAGACACAUGUUGGGACAAUAUGCGUUCGUCAGUGGCAUGAGUGGCUUCUCUGCUGAGUUGGAGAAUGGUAUUGGAAUACUGAUAGCCUAUAUCCUUGAGUUUUGCACUGUUCACAAUGUAACAACUAUCUAUAUGAUACACUGAAUUCCUGACAUUUUUGCCACUAUUCUUUUAAGUAUUGGCAAUCAAUAAAACAGUAGAUCAAGCUCUGGUGUGUAGUGUUGGCCAGUGUCUAUGGUAUAAAGACUCCUACCUUGACCUCUGUUAAGCCACCCAUGUGAUGUCACUGAAAUUGGAUUUGGGAAGGGAUGUGGGGUUAUAUACCAUUAUAUAGUGUAUCCACUAUACAGAUACAGGAGAUAUAAAGAACCUCAGAAGUACACAUAAUAGUAAAACAUAGUAAAAUACUUAGUAAGAGGUAGCUGUAUUUAUGACCUUUUUUAAAAAUAUAAUUUAUUUAAUAGAAGUUUACAUAAUUUAACUUUUAAUUAUGGCUGUGCUUAAUAAAACAGCUUGGAAAAUUCCUUAAAAUUUCACCAUCUGCUCUCAGGAAGGUAUGAGCUGGUUGCAGCAGAGCAGAGGUUUGAUGAGAUUCAUCCCAGUGUCCACCGCCAGAUGAGAUUUCCAAGAAGGGCUAGCAUUUCAGACCCUUCCUCUCCCAAGUCACUGUCCCUCCCAUCCAGGGCCCAUCCUGCUUCCUCUCUGAAAGGAGCAGAUGUAAAGCAGUUGAAUCUGAUGGCAGAACAUAGGUUGCCUUUGGAGCUGACCUCCUUCUGGAGCCCACUGACAUCAUGAUCUGGGGCCUGGAAAGUGAAUGUCUGGAUGCGUGUUUUAAAGAGUGAUUUUUAUCAGGGAAAAAGCACCUGCUUUCAACCCUCAGCCCCGUGGAUUCUGUAAGGCUAAUGCAACAUCAGUUCAUGCCAGUGUGCAGACAGUGAAAAGAAGUGUGUCUCAAGGUCAAGCCAUCCCCAGGAGAGAAUAGCAGCCUGACAAGAGCAUGACCAGGGGAUAGAUAUUUACCUUGUGAUUCAUUAGCACAAGCCCUGCACAGGCUCAGACAACUGCCUGCUGCAAUGUUCCUGAGAGGCCAACACCAGUCAGUUAAGCAAAAGGUUGAGGGUGGGGUAAAGUGCUAUCAUUUCCUGGAUGCCUGCUGCAACCUUGACCCUUUGAGGCCAUACCUCUGACCUUCACAGCUCAUCAGGCCUCCUGAUGCCUGCUUUCUCGAUGAGGAAACUGAUGCACAAGAGGGUGAAGUGAGCUGCACAAGCUCCUGCAGAAGUAAGCCAUGGAGCUGGGAUUUUUAACCCAGGAUGAUCUGGCUCCCAAAUCAACUCCAAGUGAUUCACUGACAAUAAGAAACAGAAAUGUCCGGGGAGUUCCCUGGUGGCUCACAGGUUAAGGACCUGGGAUUCACUGCUGUGGCUCAGGUGACAGCUGUGGCAUGGGUUCAGUCUGUGGCCUGGGAACUUCUGUUUGCCACAGGUGCAACCAGAAAAGAAAGAGAGAGAAAGAGAGAGAGUGGGAGAGAAAGAAAGAGAAAGGAGGGAGGGAAGAAAAGAAGGAAAAAAGAAAGAAAGCGGAAGAACGAAGGAAGAAAGGAAAGAAAGGAAGGACGAUUAUGUCCAGCGGAUGGGAACCUUGUAGCUCUCUGUAAGGAAGACAUACAGCUGGAGGUUGUAAACUGUAAACUCAAGUCUAAUCCUGAUUGCAGUGUUGUUUUGUUUGGCCUGAAUAGUGUUUUCUAAAAAAUGUUUGAAUUCAUUACCAACCCUUAAAAAUAGGGAGUUUUCAUAUAGUUUCAUGCAGAAUGCAGAAUUCUGGUUCCUCUUGGGAAACCAGAAGAUCUGGGAACAGUCAGUUGGAGCUGAGGAUGACUGCCAUUUUCAGAAGGAACAGGAACACUCUUGAGUGCCAUCGUCCCCACCCACCCUGGGGCUGCUCUGUGGGAAAUUAGAUGACCCCACAGCUGCAGAGGGAGGCUAGACCCAGCCCAGGAAGUUCUUGGACACCAACAUGUAAGGGUACCAGCCUGUCAGAACUUCCUUGUUGUACCGGUUUGCUAGGCUGCCUUAACAAAGUACCACACACUGGGUGGCCUAAACAACAGAAAUCUGUUUCCAUUCUGGAGGCUAAAAUCCAAGGUCAAGGCAGGAUUGGUUUCUUCUGAGGCCUCUUCUUGGUUUGUAGAUGGCUGCGUUGUCUCUGUGUCUUCCCUCUGAGUCCUAAUCUCCUCUUCUUAUAAGGACACCAGCCAUGUUGGAUUAGGGCCAACUCUAAUGACCUUGUUUUAACUUGAUUACCUCUUCAAAGACCCUCUCUCCAAAUACAGGCACAUUCUGAGGUACUAGAGGUUAUGACUUGAAUAUACACAUUUGGGAGGGGCUGCAACUCAGCCCCUAAUGAUCAGAUAUUGAUUGUCUUUCCCUAGGGACAGACCUAAUUUUGUACAGUCUGAAACUUAUACAGUGUUGGAAGCCUUCUUCUUCUUUUUUUAAUGGCCACACUGGCUGAAUAUGAAAAUUCCCAGUCCAGAAAUUGAAUCUAAGCUGCAGCCAUGACCUACACCACAGCUGUGUAGGUCAACUCUGGAUCCUUUAACCCACCGUGCCCGGCCAGGGAUUAAACCCGCAUCUCUGCAGCAACCUGAGCUGCUGCAUUUGGAUUCUUAAUGUCUGUGCCAUAGAGAAAACUCCUGGAAACCUUCUUGGUAAAGAAGAAUAUAUAACUGUGAAUGUAGAACUCGGUGCAGGGAGCAGAGCUGCCGGUGCCCUACCCAUGUCCCCCAGGCUGUGCUGGAACUCAGGGUCAGGACCUCCAGCUUUCGCCAAGGCCCUUGCCCACCAAGAGUGCUGGGGAAAUAACUCCUGCUGCCACACUCCCAAGCCCUUGGCCAGUGACUCCUCACCCCUGAAGUGGGACAGCUCUGAGGUGUGUCUUCUACCCGGGGCAUUAAUUGUGUCUUUAUUUCCGAUAUUGCUGUUGUUUUGACAUCUAGGGCCUUGCUGACCCUGGGAGGUUGCCCCCUCCCAGAGUUAGCCAAUUGUUAGAGAUAGUAAAAAAUGCAACUUUCAAGUGCAAGUCAGCCACUCAAGGGCUCACACCCCAAGCACCUUCUUUAUCAGGCUCUCUCUCCUUUUGUAAUCACCCUCAAGCCAGAUACCAGCCAACUAGGACCACCUGGUGCCCAUAGUCCACAUAAAUUAGUCAAGCUAGCCCACUGUAAUCAUACCCUGCCUCAUGUGUUCCUUCCUGCAGAAACUGCAAUAAAGAUUCUUCAUAGGCCCUCCUCCCUCUGCCUUCUGCCCAACCCUGGUGUUUCUCCGUGUGGCUCCUCAUGGGCUAUGCCCCCCUCCUCUUGGGAACUACGAGUAACAAGCUAUCUUUUCAAUGGCAGUCGCCUCCUGAUCUGUUGGCCUUGCCUUAACUAAAUAAUAAUAAAAGCUGUAUUUUAAAACAUUCUGUUCCCCAAGGGCCCCUAUGGGAUUCAGCUCCAGACACCCACAAUGGGAGCUGGCUUGAUCAUGCAGCCUUUGCUGGCUGACUGCCCUUCCCGGUCUCAUUUCCCCACAUGCCUGCCAAUAUGCCUCCCAGAUAAACCAACCAUAUUCUCAGCCUUGUCCCACGGGCUGCUUCCAGGGGAACCAAAUUAAGUCAGCACAGAAGUGAAUGUUUAUUUUAAAUACAGAGAGGAAAUAAAAGUGGAGACAGCGGCCUUAACUGAUGGCUGUUGUAGGAUCUUACAUUGGCAAAUUUAAAAAAAACGCGGGACCACAUGAACACGUUAGGGCUCUUGGAAGGGGCUCAGAUGAGGGCCACAAUGCUUACAGUUCAUUAGUUUAUGAUAAGUCACCCUCUGACUAGGACAGAGGCUCCAUGAGGGCCAGUACAGUGCCCGGCACAGUGGCUGGCAUGUAGCAGGUGCUUUAUGCAUAGUAGUUUAAUGAACGAACAUCCUAACAGAGCAGACUUGGUGUGCCCCUUUCUCUCCUGGGUGGGGCUUGGUUGGCAUCCUUUAGAUCCCUGUUUUGAGGGUGUCUCCUGGUAGUAGCAAGCCUCCUUCCAAGGGGCACAAUUGAUUUCUUUAGACAUGCUAAUUCCAGAGUUCCCAUGUGGCUUAUUGAUAAUGAACCCAACUGGUAUCCAUGAGAAUGUGGGUUCAAUCCCUGGCUUCA
ensembl:lncRNA